rnacentral:miRNA from 1 species
UUUCAAGCUGGGGGGUGUUUUUG